rnacentral:rRNA from 1 species
AAACUGAAGAGUUUGAUCCUGGCUCAGAUUGAACGCUGGCGGCAUGCCUAACACAUGCAAGUCGAACGGUAACAGCAGAGCUUGCUCUGGCUGACGAG